UACAGAGGGGGCAAGCGUUAUUCGGAAUUAUUGGGCGUAAAGGGCGCGUAGGCGGCAUGGCAAGUGGAUGGUGAAAUCCCUCGGCUUAACCGAGGAACUGCCGUCCAAACUGCUUCGCUUGAGACCGGGAGAGGUGAGUGGAAUUCCCAGUGUAGCGGUGAAAUGCGUAGAUAUUGGGAGGAACACCAGUGGCGAAGGCGGCUCACUGGCUCAUUACUGACGCUCAGGCGCGAUAGCGUGGGGAUCAAACAGG
rnacentral:rRNA from 1 species